CAAAAUAGAUGAAAACAACUCAGAGAGUUCCAAAAACCAUUGUUGAUUGUUUGGAUGCGAUGGUCUGAAACAGUUGACGAAAUAAUCAAGCAAUCUCUACGGAAGCCAUCAUUCACAACUAUCAGCUCAAAUUAGACAGAGUGUGCUGGUGGGUGAGCGUGCCAAGUGGGACAGCACGAAGCUCCACCGGCUGGAUGCGGUCAAAUGACUCGGUGGCACUAACUUGUGGUAAAAAUAAAAUUAACCGUAUAGAAAUGCACGCAUCCAUCUUCUAA